rnacentral:rRNA from 1 species
GAGUUUGAUCAUGGCUCAGAACGUACGCUGGCGGCACGCCUUAUACAUGCAAGUCGAACGAAGUAGCAAUACUUAGUGGCAGACGGGUGAGUAACAUGUGGGUAUCUUCCCUAUGGUGAGGAAUAACACGAGGAAACUUGUGCUAAUACCUCAUAAGUCUUUACGGAGAAAGCUUUAUGCGCCAUUGGAUGAGCCCGCACUUGAUUAGUUUGUUGGUAGGGUAACGGCCUACCAAGACUGUGAUCAAUAGCUGAUUUGAGAGGAUGAUCAGC